GACGAACCGAGCGAACGUUGUUCGGAAUCACUGGGCUUAAAGGGCGCGUAGGCGGGCUGUCAAGUCUGGGGUGAAAUCCCGCGGCUCAACCGUGGAACUGCCUUAGAUACUGACGGCCUCGAGGGAGAUAGGGGCGAGCGGAACUGCGAGUGUAGAGGUGAAAUUCGUAGAUAUUCGCAAGAACACCAGUGGCGAAGGCGGCUCACUGGCCCGGUACUGACGCUGAGGCACGAAAGCGUGGGGAGCAAACAGG
rnacentral:rRNA from 1 species